UACGUAGGGGGCUAGCGUUGUCCGGAAUCAUUGGGCGUAAAGAGCGUGUAGGCGGCCCGGUAAGUCCGCUGUGAAAGUCGGGGGCUCAACCCUCGAAUGCCGGUGGAUACUGUCGGGCUAGAGUGCGGAAGAGGCGAGUGGAAUUCCUGGUGUAGCGGUGAAAUUCGUAGAUAUCGGGAGGAACACCAGUGGCGAAGGCGGCAACCUGGGCCAAUAUUGACGCUGAGGUGCGAAAGCGUGGGGAGCAAACAGG
rnacentral:rRNA from 1 species